GAUUCCGGCGUUGACUCCAAUUGAACCGCAGGCUUCACCCCUUGUGGUGCUCCCCCGCCAAUUCCUUUAAGUUUCAGUCUUGCGACCGUACUCCCCAGGCGGCAGACUUAACGGCUUCCCUGCGGCACUGGGUUGGCCCGAAGCCAACCCAUCACCGAGUCUGCAUCGUUUACAGCUGGGACUACCCGGGUAUCUAAUCCGGUUUGCUCCCCCAGCUUUCAUCCCUCACCGUCGAGCGCGUUCUGGCAAACCGCCUUCGCCACUGGUGGUCUUCAGUGGAUCAGUGGAUUUUACCCCUACCCACUGAGUACCGUUUGCCUCUCCCGCCUCCUAGCCCUGUAGUAUCCUCCGCAGCCCAUCUGUUGAGCAGGUGGAUUUAACGGAGGACUUGCAGAACAAGCUACGGAUGCUUUAGGCCCAAUAAUCGUCCCGACCACUCGGGGUGCUGGUAUUACCGCGGCGGCUGACACCAGACUUGCCCACCCCUUAUUCUGCACCAUUUUUAGAGGUGCCAAAAGAUGCCCUUAGCGGGCAUCACUCAGAGUAACCCUGUCAAGCUUUCGCCUAUUGCAGAGGUUUCGCGCCUGCUGCGCCCCAUAGGGCCUGGGCCCUUGUCUCAGUGCCCAUCUCCGGGCUCCUUCUCUCAAAGCCCGUACCGGUUAUUGGUUUGGUGGGCCAUUACCCCACCAACAGCCUGAUCGGCCGCAGUCCAAUCCAGGGGCCAUAUAGGUUUCAGCCAUUGUCCAUUCCAGAAACCUUGGCCUAUCGCAGUUCAUCCUCAGUUUCCCGAGGUUAUCCACGUCCCCUGGGCAUGUUGACUACGUGUUACUGAGCCGUAUGCCACGUAUUGCUACGUUGACUCGCAUGGCUUAGCCCCACUCUGAUAGCAGUCGGGUCCGGCAGGAUCAACCGGAAAAU
rnacentral:rRNA from 1 species